GUGUCAGCAGCCGCGGUAAUACGAAGGGGGCUAGCGUUGUUCGGAUUUACUGGGCGUAAAGGGCGCGUAGGCGGUGCAAUAAGUCAGGCGUGAAAGCCCCGGGCUCAACCCGGGAAUUGCGCUUGAUACUGUUGCGCUUGAAUCCAGGAGAGGAUGGCGGAAUUCCCAGUGUAGAGGUGAAAUUCGUAGAUAUUGGGAAGAACACCAGUGGCGAAGGCGGCCAUCUGGCCUGGAAUUGACGCUGAGGCGCGAAAGCGUGGGGAGCAAACAGGAUUAGAUACCCUGGUAGUCCACGCCGUAAACGAUGAGUGCUAGACGUCGGGAAGCUUGCUUUUCGGUGUCGACGCUAACGCAUUAAGCACUCCGCCUGGGGAGUACGGCCGCAAGGUUAAA
rnacentral:rRNA from 1 species